UACGUAGGGGGCGAGCGUUGUCCGGAUUUAUUGGGCGUAAAGAGCGUGUAGGCGGCCAGGUAGGUCCGUUGUGAAAACUCGAGCUCAACCUCGAGACGCCGGUGGAAACUGCAAAGCUAGAGUCCGGAAGAGGAGAGUGGAAUUCCUGGUGUAGCGGUGAAAUGCGCAGAUAUCAGGAAGAACACCCGUGGCGAAGGCGGCUCUCUGGGACGGUACUGACGCUGAGACGCGAAAGCGUGGGGAGCGAACAGG
rnacentral:rRNA from 1 species